AUGGCCGCCUUGCCGCAGCUGCUUCUGGCCCUCUUCCCCGCGGUGGCCGCCGUCCUGAUCCUGCUGCUGGCCUCGGCGCCGGGAGCUCGCGCUCACGCCUCCUCGUCCUCGUCGGCGACGUACCGCUGCGGCUGGUGCCCGCGCAGGUCCACCGCGUCCAUCCUCCCUCCCGACGCCGGCGCACUCACCGGUGCCGCGUGCGGCUACGGUGGCUCUGCGGCGGCGGCGGAGAUGGCCAGCGACGGCGGCUUCCACAUUGCCGCCGUCAGCGCCGGCUUCUUUAGCAAAGGUCGGGCAUGCGGCGCCUGCUACCAGCUGAGGUGCAGGGGCCGGAGCGCAUGCGCCAAGGAUGGCGUCAAGGUCGUCGUCGUAGGCGAACUGGCGGACACGAACAAGACUGCAGCUGGCCGCUUCCUGCUCACGAAGGACGCCUUCGCCGCCAUGACCACGCCAGACCGUGGCGCCGAGCUCGCCGACGCAGCCGUCGACGUGGACUUCAGGAGGAUUCCCUGCGUGUACAAGAGCAAGAACCUGGCGGUUAAAGUGGAGGAGACGAGCAGCAGGGAGAGGGGCUACCUCGCCCUCCGCUUCCUCUACCAGGGCGGACAGACCGACAUCGCCGCCGUCGAGGUCGCCCAGGCGGUCACCGGUUCGAGCGGCACCAACAACAACGCAGCACCGUUGCAGACAUCGUGGCAGUACAUGACGCAGCGCGAGGCGUCCCCGUCGGUGUGGCGCACGUCGCGCGUGCCGGCCGGUCCGCUGCGGCUCCGGUUCGUGGUCACCGCGGGCUCUGGCGGCAAGUGGCUGCGCACCGACGGGGCGGUGCUCCCCGCGGAAUGGCAGCCCGGCGCGGUCUACGACACCGGCCUGCGGGUCACCGACGUCGCCGCAAGCACCUGCGGCGCCGCCUCCUGCUCCUCCACGGACGAGGGCGACGACGCCGAGCAGCUCAGAUGA
rnacentral:rRNA from 1 species